CAAUGACUUUAAGAUAAGCUUUGGUCUUCCUGACCUGAAAGCAUUCUCUAGAAUUAUUUGGAAGCACCCAGCUAGUUCAAAAUUGUGGGCAUAUAUAUAAUAUACAUAUAUAUAUAUAUAUAUAACAUAUAGUUACUGUUCUUACAUACCCAUUGGAAAAGCUGAGGGGGAGAUGAAGAGCAAAAUGGGGAACCAAAAUUUAUGAAUCAGAUCUUCGUUACUUCUGACUUGCUCCAUCCUACUUGUGAUGUCUAUAUCCUUAUAAGGACACUUGGAGUUGGUGGUAAGUUUUUUAUGAGAGUAUGAUUUUGAGCUUGAAUUACUCGGAUUUGAAUCAUAUACUUACUUUUUAAUCUUAAUUUUUCAAUUAAAAUUCAUUUAAUUUAACAUCUAAAAGUAAUACUAUUUCACAUAAGAGUA